rnacentral:rRNA from 1 species
CUAACACAUGCAAGUCGAGCGGGGGAGGUUGCUUCGGUAACUGACCUAGCGGCGGACGGGUGAGUAAUGCUUAGGAAUCUGCCUAUUAGUGGGGGACAACAUCUCGAAAGGGAUGCUAAUACCGCAUACGUCCUACGGGAGAAAGCAGGGGAUCUUCGGACCUUGCGCUAAUAGAUGAGCCUAAGUCGGAUUAGCUAGUUGGUGGGGUAAAGGCCUACCAAGGCGACGAUCUGUAGCGGGUCUGAGAGGAUGAUCCGCCACACUGGGACUGAGACACGGCCCAGACUCCUACGGGAGGCAGCAGUGGGGAAUAUUGGACAAUGGGGGGAACCCUGAUCCAGCCAUGCCGCGUGUGUGAAGAAGGCCUUUUGGUUGUAAAGCACUUUAAGCGAGGAGGAGGCUACCGAGACUAAUACUCUUGGAUAGUGGACGUUACUCGCAGAAUAAGCACCGGCANCUCUG